UACGAAGGGGGCUAGCGUUGCUCGGAAUCACUGGGCGUAAAGGGUGCGUAGGCGGGUCUUUAAGUCAGGGGUGAAAUCCUGGAGCUCAACUCCAGAACUGCCUUUGAUACUGAAGAUCUUGAGUUCGGGAGAGGUGAGUGGAACUGCGAGUGUAGAGGUGAAAUUCGUAGAUAUUCGCAAGAACACCAGAGGCGAAGGCGGCCUACUGGGCUGCACCUGACGCUGAGCCGCGAAAGCCAGGGGAGCGAACGGG
rnacentral:rRNA from 1 species